rnacentral:rRNA from 1 species
CGCCAGACUCCUACGGGAGGCAGCAGUGGGGAAUAUUGCACAAUGGGGGAAACCCUGAUGCAGCGACGCCGCGUGAGUGAAGAAGUAUUUCGGUAUGUAAAGCUCUAUCAGCAGGGAAGAAAAUGACGGUACCUGAUUAAGAAGCCCCGGCUAACUACGUGCCAGCAGCCGCGGUAAUACGUAGGGGGCAAGCGUUAUCCGGAUUUACUGGGUGUAAAGGGAGCGUAGACGGUGAUGCAAGUCAGAAGUGAAAGCCCGGGGCUCAACUCCGGGACUGCUUUUGAAACUGUGUGACUGGAGUGCAGGAGAGGUAAGCGGAAUUCCUGGUGUAGCGGUGAAAUGCGUAGAUAUCAGGAGGAACACCAGUGGCGAAGGCGGCUUACUGGACUGUAACUGACGUUGAGGCUCGAAAGCGUGGGGAGCAAACAGGAUUAGAUACCCCAGUA